AAUCUAUAUAUACUUGUGUUCCCUCAUGUACUUUCUGUAUUGAUUUGUUGUUGAUAAAAAUAAUUUUUUAAAUAAAUACAUUUAAAAAAUGUUGUGAGUUCUUCACAGGAAUAUUCAGAGCACUAUUCAAAUCUGGCAGAAGCCGCAGGAAUGAUAAAAGCAGAGUUUCUAACUAUUUUCAAGGAAAGUAGCUGUUGGUUGCUCCGUUUGUCGCUAGAAGUCGCAAGAUGACGUCAUUACGUAAUAAUGACGUCACGUUUACACUUACGCUGUCCCUCAGUCUCUCAUUCAAUGACAAAUUCUCCAAAGUAAAAAAUAUGUUUACAUUUACAUUUAAGUCAUUUAGCAGACGCUCUUAUCCAGAGCGACUUACAAAUUGGAUGUUUGAAGGAGAACAAAAAGGAACCGAUUAAAUAAUUAGACAGCACAGAAAAAAUGUAAGGUAGAUAACUUUUUUCGAAAAUGUAUUUUUUUUACUUAAAAAAAAUAUGAUUAUUUAUGCCUUGGAGAGCUGUGGUGCCAUUUAACAACAUGUACCGGAUUUAAUACAUUCGCUCCACUCGCUGCAGCAACGUGGAGAGGACAAGAGGCGAGAGCGGAGAGAGGCUAGGGAGGGAGCAGAGAGUGGCGGGGGAAGGGGGACAAGUGACCGCUGCACACACACACGCGGAACCUCAGAGAGGGAGCAGACUGCAGAGCAGUAGUGCUGAGUAAUGCAGGCCUGGUUUUGACCAGACAGAGAAUGCAUGCUCCUGAGUGAGUACUCCCACAGGGACUAAGCAGAGAGCCUCUGUCCUGGUGCGGUCACACAGCGAGAGAGAGGGGGGUGGAGGUCGGCCUGACAUCCAGUGCAACCCUUCAACCUCCAGGACAGCCAGGGAGAGUUGAGCUCCGUCUGCUCCUGUCCGUGUGUCUGCAGUGUCGGUGCCAGGCUCCACAUGCCACUCAGCAGCAGAACAGAGCCUUAGCCUUACUUCGCCUGCGCCACCCCGUCCUGCCAACACUACAGAACAGUUAGGCAGUGCCUUUACUGUGAUAAUGGGACUUGGGACGGGGAGUGCGGCAGACCGGCUGGGCAGGACGGUGUCCCAUACUGCUCUCCCUCUCUAUCAGUGGCUCGUGUAUUACUUUACUCAGUCUGUGGGAUCUCAAGUGAAACUGUUAAAGUUUUUAUCAUAGAGGCGUCAGAGGCAGGUGUCAUGACCAUAGCCAGCUAGAUAGGUUUCCAAUAUCCCAACCUGAUAACUAGCUACCAAGCCAUUUCAGGCUAUCAAUAAAGUAGCAUGUCUAACUAUCUUAGCAGGCAUGCCUGCUGGUAAGUUUGAUAAGCUUUAGAAAAGCAAGCAAGUACUGAAUAAGACUCCUAUUCCUUUCAAUCUUUUACCCAGAUUUUAGCAGAGAAGCAUAUUUAGGGUUACGCUACUAUAUACCAGCGUGGCAGUUAUACUAAACUCCUAAGGCAUAGAAGUUCUCAAAGAAUCAAUGUGCAUCAUUCAUUAAAAUGACAAUGAGGUAAAGAGGUAUGCUUAGAUAGAAUUGGGCAUAAUGACCAUCCUCACGUACUUUGUGCCCCUUCUAAAAUAGUGGGUGCAUGACGUCUGAGUACUAGUAUUUCACUAGUUUCUCACAAACAGAAUGUCCUGGGAGGAGACAAAAGCCUUACUCUGUGGAAAUCAUUCACCUGUAUGCAGGGCUCUAGAGUGCGACCAAUUUGGUCACAUAUCUGACAAAACAUUUUUGCUGUGAGACCAGUACCUUUAUUUUGGGAGCACUGUGUGCCAAAAAAAAGAAUCCAAUAUGUCAGGUCACUUAUUGGUUAGAGUAUUGGGCCAGUAACGGAAAGGUUGCUGGUUCGAAUACCGAGCUGUCAAGGUGAAAAAUAUGUCAAUGCUCGUAGAGACCCAUAGACUUCAAGGCAUUGCUCAAACACUAGUUAGCAUUGGCUUGCAAAACUACUGCCUAACUUCCUUCAUACUGGACACAGAGACGUAAAACUAGUAUCCACAUGUUCAUCUGACUCUGGGUAAAUAUAAAAAGUAUCCAUUUAACCCUAAUUUGCUCCAGGGGCACUGUACUACUAUGACUGACUGACUGUGUAAAACAACACAUUUCAUUGCACCUAUCCGGUACGAGACAAUGAAACAUUCACUGCUCAAACAAGAUACACUGUUUACAAAUAAUAACCAAUCAUAAAGCUUCAAAUGUUUAAAUAUAGCUAUUUAAACCAAUCAAACGCCAGGCACACAGCCAAUCCCUUUUCAUGCAAACAUUCCCUCAGAACUGUGAGCGAAGUAAUGGCAUGAGCUAUAGCUAGCAAGAACAACAACAACAAUGAAAUGUGGUGGAACUGAAUCUUUCUUUGACAAAAAACAAAUGAUGAAAAUGAUCAACCACAAACAGAAGAUGAUGAUGACCUUCGGAGAUGCUGCUACAGAUCCAUCUCCUCAGAAAAAGAAAAAGCUCUACAUGUUCCGAGAGGGGUAGCUUUGCGAAUUCAAGUAGCUAAGGAGGGACAAAAUUAGCAACACAAUGUUCUGUGAGUACUGUCGAAAGUGUGGAGUAAUAUCAGCAGGAAGACUUAUUUUGCCACUGGCCACAGCAACCUAAACCACGAGUUGUUGCUAAAACAUUACUUAAGCCAAAAGCACAUCAAGUGCAUCGGGACAGGGGCUGGAGCAACAUCGCUACGUCUACUAGCUACCAGCAGUAUUUGACAGGCAACAGGUGACAGCCCAAGCUGGUCAACAGGCAGAGCUAGAGAUGACAUUUUACACCGCUUACUGCAUUACCAAAGAGUAGAUGGCUUUUACCAAAUUCAGACCCAUGUUACUCACCCAGAAAAAAACAUUUAUGACAAAUCAACUCCACAUUUGGAAACGUGAUGUCCUGUGCAAACAUCAUUGCUACUAUACGGGAAGAGGGUUAGUGUAAUCCCGGUUCCUUAGGACAUCCAAACCCUAAACGCUAGUUGAUUUAUUAGCUACAUUCAAUAUCUAAGAAAUCGAUUAGUCAUUGUGAGAGGAGACUAAACAUGUAUUUAAUUAAGUGUCAGUUCAUAGUCAGCUUGUUGCUUUUUUACAACAUUAAUUUUUUUACAUAGUUUUGUAUUAUGUUUUAUUAUUAUCUGUUCGCUAAAUGCAGUAAUGUAUAACAGUUUCCAGUUGCACUUUUAAAUACAAUGAAAGUUAUUUUAAUCACCUAUAUACAUAUUAUUUUGCACUUUUGAAUACAAUCAAUCUACUGUUUUGUACGUUACAUUUGUCUGUCCAAAACUAAUAAUCUAUGGGUGCGUUCGUAAAUUCACUCUGGAGUGCCAGAGAAUGCUCAGUGUGUGGUCUGGGCAUUCCUAAAUUCAGAGCUUUGUCAGAUGGCUCUCGGAGCGUUUAGAGCGCACUCUGGAUGCUCUGACCGAGGAGUAGGGUGAUCCGAGCGUUCUGACAACAACUGCAGUCUAACACACAAGCUAAAGUUAGCUAGCUAUUUCCAGACAUAAAUUAGAGAACACCCCACUCUAACCAUUUUACUCACCGUAGCAAAGCUGGUUAGGCUGUUUUCAUGUUAUCCAGAGCGUUGGUGACUGUAACUGUGCUUCUGUCAACAAUUUAAUUAUGCUUUUUUUGCCAAUGUUUACUGACACUGGCCAUAUUCAAUGGGUGUUGAACGUUCCUAAAUUCAUCAGUUAUUCCGUGCUCUGGCACACUCAGACGAGAGUGCUCUGAAAUCAGAGUAGAUAGCCAGAGUGAAUUUCUGAACACACCCUAAAUAAAUAGGUUUGUUGUUGCACUUUUGAAUACAAUUAUUAAAAGUAGUUUUUAUUCUGUCUUUCCCAUUCUCUUGUGAUGCGUUCUACAUAAUCAAGGUAACAACUGAUGAAAAUUGAGAAUGAUAGGACAGUCAUUUUCAGUAAAAAGAGUAUUUUUUUUCUGGUGCUCCUAAAUUUUGUCUGGUGCUCCUUACUUUUUGAAGUUAGGCACAACCGUGCUAUCAAUGAGAACAGUUCAUUUAGAGCCCUGCCUGUAUGUAUCCUUCACAUACAAUAAGUUGUCCUUAAGUUGCAGUGUAACUGAUACUACAUGACGCAGAAUCAGAAGAAGAGGAACUCACCAUAUGCUUCUGGCCCUGGAGAAAGUCUUGUCCACUCUGAAAAGAAAAAGAGAGGUUAUAUUCCUGCUGAAAGAUGGAGUUGUCUGAUGGAAAGCAGACUGAACCAGGUUUUCAUCUAGGACUUUGCCUGGGUUUAGCUCUAUUCUUUUUCUUUUUAUCCUUAAACUCCCGAGUCCUUACAGAUGACAAGCAUAUCCAUAACAUGAUGCAGUCACCACCAUGCUUGAAAAUUUGAGGAGUGGUACUCAGUAAUGCGUUGUAUUGGAUUUGCCCCAAACAUAACACUUUGUAUUCAGGACAAAAAGUACAUUUCCUUGCCACAUUUUUUUCAGUAUGACUUUGUUGCUAACAGGAUGCAUGUUUUGGAAUAUUUGUAUUCUGUACGGGCAUCCUUCUUUUCACUCUGUCAAUUAGAUUAGUAUAGUGGAGUAACUACAAUGUUGUUGAUCCAACAUCAGUUCUACUAUCACAGCCAUUAAACUCUAACUGUUUUAAUGUCACCAUUGGCCUCAUGGUGAAAUCCCUGAGGGGUUUUCUUCCUCUCUGUCAACUGAGUUAGGAACGGACGCAUGUAUCUUUGUAGUGACUGGGUGUAUUGAUACACCAUCCAAAAUGUAAUUAAUAACAAAUUGAUGUACAAUGUCUGCUUUAUUUUUUGUAAAAAACAUUUUUACAUAUCUACCAAUAGGUGCUCUUUUUUGCAAGGCAUUGGAAAACCUCUGAACUGUCACUGAAUCUGUGCUUGAAAUUCUGACCCUUCACUUUUACCAAAUUUUGUUAAGUUCCAGCUUUAUUCUAAAAUGGAUUCAAAGAAAAAAAUCCUCAAUCUACACACAAUACCCCAUAACGACAAAGUAAUUAUUCAGACCCUUAGCUAUGAGAGCUCAGGUGCAUCCUGUUCCCAUUGAUCAUCCUUGAGAUGUUUAUACAACUUGAUUGGAGUCCACCUAUGGUAAAUUCCUUUCAUUGGAUAUGAUUUGGAAAGUCACACAUCUGUCUAUAUAAAGGUCCCACAAUUGACAGUGCAUGUCAGAGCAAAAACCAAGCCAUGAGGUUGAAAGAAUUGUCUGUAGAGCCCCGAGACAGGAUUGUAUCGAGGCACAGAUCUGUGGAAGGGUGCCAAAACAUUUCUGCAGCAUUCAAGGUCCCCAAGAACACAGUGGCCUCCAUCAUUAUUAAAUGGAAGAAGUUUGGAACCACCAAGAUUCUUCCUAUAGCUGGCCACCCGGCCAAACUGAGAAAUCGGGGGAGAAAGGCCUUGGUCAGUGAGGUGACCAAGAACCCGAUGCUCACUCUGACAGAGCUCCAGAGCUCCUCUGUGGAGAUGGGAGAACCUUCCAGAAGGACAACCAUCUCUGCAGCACUCCACCAAUCAGGCAUUUAUGGUAGAGUGGCUAGACGGAAGCCGCUCCUCAGUAAAUGGCACAACAGCCCGGUUGGAGUUUUCCAUAAGGCACCUAAAGACACUCAGACCAUGAGAAACAAGAUUCUAUGGUCUGAUGAAACCAAGAUUGAACUCUUUGGCCUGAAUGGCAAGAGUCACAUCUGGAGGAAACCUGGCACCAUCCCUACGGUGAAGCAUGGUGGUGGCAGCAUUAUGCUGUAGGGAUGUUUUUCAGUGGCAGGGACUGGGAGACUAGUCAGGAUCGAGGGAAAGAUGAACAGAGCAAAGUACAGAGAGAUCUUUGGUGAAAACCUGCUCCAGAGCGCUCAGGACCUCAGACUGGGGUGAAAGUACACCUUCCAACAGUACAACAACCCUAAGCAUACAGCCAAGACAACACAGGAGUGGCUUCGGGACAAGUCUCUGAAUGUCCUUGAGUUGCCCAGCCAGAGCCCGGACUUGAACCCGAUUGAAUAUCUCUGGAGUGACCUGAAAAUAGCUGUGCAGCGACGCUCCCCAUCCAACUUGACAGAGCUUGAGAGGAUCUGCAGAGAAGAAUGGGAGACACUCCCCAAAUAUAGGUGUGCCAAGCUUGUAGCAUCAUACCCAAGAUGACUCAAGGCUGUAAUCGCUGUCAAAGGUGCUUCAACAAAGUACCGAGUAAAGGGUCUGAAUAAUUGUGUAAACAUUUAAGUUUGUUUUUAAUAAAUCUGCAAACAUUUAUAAAAAUCGGUUUUCACUUUAUAAUUACAUGGUAUUGUGUGUAAAUUGAUGAGGACAUGUUUUUUUUAUUUGAUACAUUUUAGAAUAAGGCUGUAACACACAUUUUUGGGGAAAAAAGUCAAGGUGUCUAAAUACUUUCCGAAUGCACUGUACAGCAUGUGUUGGGUACAGAGAUGGGGUAGUUAUUCAAAAAUCAUGUUCAACACCAUUAUUGCACAUGCAACUUAUCUGAUUUGUUAAGCAACUUUUUACUACUGAAGUCAUUUAAGCUUGCCAUAACAAAGAGGUUGAAUACUUAUUGACUCAAGACAUUUCAGCUUUUAAUUUCUAAAACAUAAUUCCAUUUUGACUUACACACAAUCUACAUUUAAUCCAUUUUAAAUGCAGACUGUAACACAACAAAUUAUGGAAAAAUUCAAGGGUUGUGAAUACUUUCUGAAGGCGUUGUAUAUAUCAUUUGACCCAGACUUGUUUUUUGUACAAACUGCAAGCAAAAACAAACAAAUCAAUCAAUGUCAUGCACACCGUUUUCACCUUCAGCCUUGUCUACAGGCUCAAUCUUUCAGCAAAACUCAAAGGUUUUUCAAAGAUGAAUGGACACAACAGGCAUUUUCCACUGGAAAUACUGCACUAACUGUAAGUCACUCUAGCUAAAUGACUAAAAUGCAUGUAAAUAUAUACAUGGUUGAUUGAAAUACUGAUGUCACGGAAUAGAAUACAGUGUUACUUCCACUGUAACGAUGUGCGCUGAGAGUCUGGAAGCAACUUCAUGGAGUGAGUGAUUUAAUCAAUAAACAAAACAUAAUACGAAACACGAACAACGCACAGACAUGAAACAGA